rnacentral:lncRNA from 1 species
AUGAGCUUGAGGAGGUUUUUCCGAGCGACCAGGGACGAGGACUUCAGUCAGAUCCAGUAUCUGACGGCCAAAUGCACCAGGCUGGCUCGAGAUAAAGCAGAGCUGGACAGGGAGUGUGUUCUGUCCAGAGAAAAGCAGCGGAUGCUGCAGGAGGAACUGGAAGCUGCAGCUUCUCAGAUCUUUCAUCAGACGCAUCAGAACAUGGAGCUACGGAGGAACCAGGACCGACUGAUCAACAGGAUCCGACAGCAGCAGGAGCUGGUGGAGCUGCUCCAUCAACGUGUGGUCCUCCUGGUGGAGGAGAGCUGUCGGGAUGCAGAGCUGCUACGACAGGUGGGCUCCGAGCUGCUGUGUGUGCAGAACUCUGAGGGGAAGCUGGAGGGCCUGGUGGAGGAGCUGCACCACGAGGCCCAGCGCAGAGCUGCAGAGGCCGAAGGCCUCCAGAUGAAGCUGCACGCAGAGGCCCAGCACAGAGCUGCGCUGACAGAGAGCCUCCUCACAGAGCUGCACGGUAAGACAGUGGAGCUGCAGAAGCUUCAGGCCAUGAACAGAACUCUGACGGACGAGAUGAAGGAUCUACGUAGAUCUCACCACCAGGAGGUGAUGAAGCUGCAGCAGGAGAACAAAGGGAGUCUAAAGAAACUGCAGCAGACAGCAGAGCAGUUUGAGUGGCUUUGUCAGCAGCAGAAACACUGGAUGCUUUGUGUUAAAAGGUUCAAAGACUGUCUGAUGGAGGAGAGGGAAGCUCGAGUACUGGAGAAGAAGACCUUGGAUGACCAAAGACCAUCACCAAGUCUACACUACCGCCCCCUGCUGGACACACAGAACUCUAACAGCAGUGUAACAUCAUGGGACGUCGAUGCAGUGACUAAGCAGGAAUGUGAUGACGUGAAGAAGUCGUCCAUGUUGUAUGAGGAGAUCUUUAAACAGGCAGGACGACCGAUCAACGGAUACAGGAAACCACCGUGAAGACAGGAGCACGGAGCUCAACCUUCUGUGAACCACAAGAAAACCUCCACAUGUUCGUCCUUCACUGUUUAUCAUCACACCUUUUUUUUCUCCCUUUGAAAACACGACUGAAAUAAAACACAGCACUAAGUUUCUUUCUGUCUUUGU